rnacentral:rRNA from 1 species
GAUGAACGCUAGCGGCAGGCCUAAUACAUGCAAGUCGAACGGUGUCUUCGGACAUAGUGGCGCACGGGUGCGUAACACGUAUGCAACCUACCUUACAUUGGGGGAUAGCCUUUCGAAAGGGAGAUUAAUACCGCAUAAGACAGUAGCUGGGCAUCCAGCAGCUGUUAAAGAUUUAUCGAUGUAAGCUGGGCAUGCGUCCAAUUAGCUAGUUGGUGAGGUAACGGCUCACCAAGGCAAUGAUUGGUAGGGGAACUGAGAGGUCAAUCCCCCACACUGGCACUGAGAUACGGGCCAGACUCCAACGGGAGGCAGCAGUAGGGAAUAUUGGGCAAUGGACGCAAGGCUGACCCAGCCAUGCCGCGUGCAGGAUGAAGGCGUUAUGCGUUGUAAACUGCUUUUAUACAGGAAGAAACGACUCUUGCGAGAGGCAUUGACGGUACUGUAUGAAUAAGCACCGGCUAACUCCGUGCCAGCCGCCGCUGUAACAC